ensembl:misc_RNA Metazoa_SRP Metazoan signal recognition particle RNA
GCAGAGUGCGGUGGCACAUGCCUGCAGUCCCAGCUACUCGGGAGGCUGAGGUGGGAGGAUCGCUUGAGCCCAGGAGUUCUGGGCUGCAGUGCGCUAUGCCGAUCAGGUGUCCACACUGAGUUCGGCAUCAAUAUGGUGACCUCCCGGGGGCGGGAGACCACCAGGUUGCCUAAGGAGGGGUGAACUGGCCCAGAUCGGAAACAGAGCAGGUCAAAACUCCCAUGCUGAUCAGUAGUGGGAUCGCACCUGUGAAUAGCCACUGCACUCCAGCCUGGGCAACAUAGCAAGACCUGGUCUCUU